GACGAACGCUGGCGGCGUGCUUAACACAUGCAAGUCGAACGGAAAGGCCCUGCUUUUGUGGGGUGCUCGAGUGGCGAACGGGUGAGUAACACGUGAGUAACCUGUCCUUGACUGUGGGAUAACUUCAGGAAAAUGGGGCUAAUACCGGAUAGGAUCUCUUGCUGCAUGGUGGGGGUUGGAAAGUUUCGGUGGUUGGGUAUGGACUCGCGGCUGAUCAGCUUGUUGGUGGGGUAGUGGAUUACCAAGGCUUUGACGGGUAGCCGGUCUGAGAGGGUAACCGGCCACAUCAGGUUUGGAAUGAGACCCAGACCACUACGCGACGGAAGGGAGCAGAAGGGAGCACUGUGGGAGGAGGCAUAAUGCAGCGACGCCGCGCGCGGGAAAACAGCCAUCGGGUAGGAUACCGCAUUCGUCUGUGACGAGGCGUGAGUGACGGUAAUGGGUGAAGAAGCACCGGCUAACUACGUG
rnacentral:rRNA from 1 species